rnacentral:rRNA from 1 species
UCAUUACCGAACCGUYGACACGAGUUGUUGCUGGCCCUCAAAAGGGGCAUGUGCACGCUCUGUCUACACAUCCACUCACACCUGUGCACCCUCUGUAGUUCUAUGGCCUUGGGGACUCUGUCCCCUUGCUGUGGUCCUACGUCUUUACACACACACCGUAACAAAGUCUYGUGGAAUGUACGUAGCGUCUAACGCAAUACAAUACAACUUUCAGCAACGGAUCUCUUGGCUCUCGCAUCGAUGAAGAACGCAGCGAAAUGCGAUAAGUAAUGUGAAUUGCAGAAUUCAGUGAAUCAUCGAAUCUUUGAACGCACCUUGCGCCCUUUGGCUAUUCCGAAGGGCAUGCCUGUUUGAGUAUCAUGAACACCUCAACUCUCAUGGUCCGCCAUGAUGAGCUUGGACUCUGGAGGUCUUGCUGGCCUGGUGUCGGCUCCUCUCAAACGGAUCAGCUUGCCAGUGUUUGGUGGCAUCACGGGUGUGAUAACUAUCUACGCUUGUGGUUUUCCGCCAUGCAACCUUCAGCGAUGGAGGUUCGCUGGAGCUCACAGAUGUCUCUCCUUGGCGAGGACAGCUUUUGAACGUUUGAUCUCAAAUCAGGUAGGACUACCCGCUGAACUUAAGCAUAUCAAUAAGCGGAGGAAAAGAAACUAACAAGGAUUCCCCUAGUAACUGCGAGUGAAGCGGGAAGAGCUCAAAUUUAAAAUCUGGCGUGCCUCUGGCCGUCCGAGUUGUAGUCU